UACGUAGGGGGCGAGCGUUGUCCGGAGUUACUGGGCGUAAAGACGCACGCAGGCGGUCUGCUAAGUUUGGAGUGACAGUUGGUGGCUUAACUGCCAAAGUGCUUCGAAAACUGACAGACUUGAGGGCUUCAGAGGGACACGGAAUUCCGGGUGGAGUGGUGAAAUGCGUAGAGAUCCGGAGGAACACCAAAGGCGAAGGCAGUGUCCUGGGGAGUACCUGACGCUCAGGUGCGAAAGCCAGGGGAGCGAACGGG
rnacentral:rRNA from 1 species